AUUGAACGCUGGCGGCAUGCCUUACACAUGCAAGUCGAACGGCAGCACGGGUGCUUGCACCUGGUGGCGAGUGGCGAACGGGUGAGUAAUAUAUCGGAACGUACCUUAUUGUGGGGGAUAACGCAGCGAAAGCUGUGCUAAUACCGCAUAAUCCCUAAGGGGGAAAGCGGGGGACCGUAAGGCCUCGCGCAAUUAGAGCGGCCGAUACCUGAUUAGCUAGUUGGUGAGGUAAAGGCUCACCAAGGCAACGAUCAGUAGCUGGUCUGAGAGGACGGUCAGCCACACUGGGACUGAGACAGGGCCCAGACUCCUACGCGAGGCAGCAGUGGGGAAUUUUGGAGAAUGGGGGCAACCCUGAUCCAGCAAUGCCGCGGGAGUGAAGAAGGCCUUCGGGUUGUAAAGCUCUUUUGUCAGGGAAGAAACAGCAGCUCUAACACAGUAUGCGAAUGACGGUACCUGAAGAAUAAGCACCGGCUAACUACGUGCCAGCCGCCGCGGUAA
rnacentral:rRNA from 1 species